rnacentral:rRNA from 1 species
AUUGAACGCUGGCGGCAGGCCUAACACAUGCAAGUCGAGCGGAGCGGCGGACGGGUGAUUAAUGCCUAGGAAUCUGCCUGGUAGUGGGGGAUAACGUCCGGAAACGGGCGCUAAUACCGCAUACUAUCAGAUGAGCCUAGGUCGGAUGAGCUAGUUGGUGGGGUAAAGGCCUACAAAGGCUACGAUCCGUAGCUGGUCUGAGAGGAUGAGCAGUCACACUGGAACUUAGAAACGGUCCAGACUCCUACGGGAGGCAGCAGUGGGGAAUAUGAGACAAUGGGCGAAAGUCUGAUCCAGCAAUGCCGCGUGUGUGAAGAAGGUCUUCGGAUUGUAAAUCACUGUAAGUAGGGAGGCGUUACCAACAGAAUAAGCACCGGCUAACUUCGUGCCAGCCGCCGCGGUAAUAC